UAUCUAUAUAGCGUAUUUCUCAAACCGGAAAGUUCACUUUCUACUCUUCCCACUAAAUCCCACAUGAUCAUGAUGAUGAAAGCAUGUCAGCCCUGUCAGUGUCACCCCAACAGCAGAGCUAUCUAAUUUUGAAUUGAACAGAAUGUAAAUUAAGUGAAUGAGUUAUAAAUAUUAAAUAAUAAUAUGAAUAAAUAUUCUUUAUUUAGUUUGUUCUUUAUUCUCAAUUCUUUUUUUUAUAAAUAAUCCCAUUAUUCUCAAUGAUUCUUUAUUCAAUAUUUCUGCUUAUUUUACUAUCUGUUUUUUAUUUUGCACUUUUUGUCAUUAUUUUCUAUUCUUAAACCCCCAUCUUGAUUCCAGACUCUCAAAUGUACGAAAGCUUGCAUGGUACGUCGAACACGGAAACCCGGAAAUCUUUUCACCGUUACCAUUUUUUGUACUAUGUCGCAAAAUCCAUGGACGCUCACGCGAUCAUCUGCUGCUGUCUUUUUAAAAGUUUUUAAGAAUGGACAGAGAUAGAUGAUACAAGGAACUUUGGUUUUUCAAACUGGUGAAUCAAAAAUGUAUUAUAAACAGAUAAAUUGAAAAGGGUGACUUGUCGAUUAACUGGAAGAAACCGGGGAACGAAACAUAGAAAAUUUAUGAAACUAUUGAAUGUCAACGCAACGAAAGUCAAAGUGUUUUUGUUUUGAUGGAUAAUUUUACGUACCCUAAAAGCGCAACGAAAGGAACUGAAAAGUAAAGAAACAGAACCAAAGAACAUUAAUUUUAGAUUAAUACAAUAUUGAACUCAAA